GACGAACGCUGGCGGCGUGCUUAACACAUGCAAGUCGAACGGAAAGGCCCUGCUUUUGUUGGGUGCUCGAGUGGCGAACGGGUGAGUAACACGUGAGUAACCUGCCCUUGACUUUGGGAUAACUUCAGGAAACUGGGGCUAAUACCGGGUAGGAGCUCCUGCUGCAUGGUGGGGGUUGGAAAGUUUCGGCGGUUGGGGAUGGACUCGCGGCUUAUCAGCUUGUUGGUGGGGUAGUGGCUUACCAAGGCUUUGACGGGUAGCCGGCCUGAGAGGGUGACCGGCCACAUUGGGACUGAGAUACGGCCCAGACUCCUACGGGAGGCAGCAGUGGGGAAUAUUGCACAAUGGGCGGAAGCCUGAUGCAGCAACGCCGCGUGCGGGAUGACGGCCUUCGGGUUGUAAACCGCUUUCGCCUGUGACGAAGCGUGAGUGACGGUAAUGGGUAAAGAAGCACCGGCUAACUACGUG
rnacentral:rRNA from 1 species